AAAGGAGGAUUCAGCUCUGUCGGUGAUAUCAAGUACAAAAAGGAGCAAGCCUUGGGAUUGGGAGGCGGUGCGAGCGGUGUAUAUCAGGGACGUUGGAAUAAGAAAGAUGUGGCGGUAAAACGCGUUCAGUACCGCACAGAAGAGGAACAACGGCGAAUUGAAAAGGAAAUCAACUGCCUCAAAAAACUUGAAGAUAACGCGAAUGUCAUCAGGUACUAUCACGUGGAAAUGUCACCACAUUUCUACUAUAUCGCAAUGGAGCUGGCAGUCGGUACAGUGGAAGACUACGUGAAGAAAACGAAGCAUUUCUCAGAUGU